rnacentral:rRNA from 1 species
UACGAAGGGGGCUAGCGUUGUUCGGAAUUACUGGGCGUAAAGCGCGUGUAGGCGGGUCUUUAAGUCAGGGGUGAAAUGCCAAGGCUCAACCUUGGAACUGCCUUUGAUACUGGAGAUCUUGAGUCCGGGAGAGGUGAGUGGAAUUGCGAGUGUAGAGGUGAAAUUCGUAGAUAUUCGCAAGAACACCAGUGGCGAAGGCGGCUCACUGGCCCGGAACUGACGCUGAGACG